AUUGAACGCUGGCGGCAUGCCUAACACAUGCAAGUCGAACGGUAACGGGCCUUCGGGUGCCGACGAGUGGCGAACGGGUGAGUAAGUCAUCGGAACGUACCUUUCAGUGGGGGAUAACGUAGCGAAAGGUACGCUAAUACCGCAUCUUCUGUGAGCAGGAAAGCAGGGGAUCGCAAGACCUAGCGCUGAUUGAGCGGCAGAUGUUAGAUUAGUCUAGUUGGUGAGGUAAAGGGACACCAAGGCGACGAUCUGGAGCGGGUCUGAGGGGAUGACCCGCCGAACGGGAAGUAGGGCACGGUCCAGAGUCCGACGGGGGGCAGCAGUGGGGAAGUUUGGACAAUGGGGGCAACCCGUAGCCAGGCAUGCCGCGUGAGAGUAGGAGGCCUUCGGGUUGUAAAGCUCUUUCGGCCGGGAAGAAAUCGCACGGGCUAAUACCCUGUGUGGAUGACGGUACCGGAAUAAGAAGCACCGGCUAACUACGUGCCAGCCGCCGCGGUAAUAC
rnacentral:rRNA from 1 species